rnacentral:rRNA from 1 species
CCUAUGGGAGGCUGCAGUGGGGAAUAUUGGGCAAUGGGCGCAAGCCUGACCCAGCAACGCCGCGUGAAGGAAGAAGGCUUUCGGGUUGUAAACUUCUUUUAUGAGGGACGAAGGAAGUGACGGUACCUCAUGAAUAAGCCACGGCUAACUACGUGCCAGCAGCCGCGGUAAUACGUAGGUGGCGAGCGUUAUCCGGAUUUACUGGGUGUAAAGGGCGUGUAGGCGGGCUUGCAAGUCAGAUGUGAAAACUAUGGGCUCAACCCAUAGCCUGCAUUUGAAACUGUAGGUCUUGAGUGAUGGAGAGGCAGGCGGAAUUCCGUGUGUAGCGGUGAAAUGCGUAGAUAUACGGAGGAACACCAGUGGCGAAGGCGGUCUGCUGGACAUUAACUGACGCUGAGGCGCGAAAGCGUGGGGAGCAAACAGGAUUAGAUACCUGAGUAGUC